rnacentral:rRNA from 1 species
GACGAACGCUGGCGGCGUGCCUAAUACAUGCAAGUAGAACGCUGAAGAGAGGAGCUUGCUCUUCUUGGAUGAGUUGCGAACGGGUGAGUAACGCGUAGGUAACCUGCCUGGUAGCGGGGGAUAACUAUUGGAAACGAUAGCUAAUACCGCAUAAUAGUAGAUGUUGCAUGACAUUUGCUUAAAAGGUGCAAUUGCAUCACUACCAGAUGGACCUGCGUUGUAUUAGCUAGUUGGUGAGGUAACGGCUCACCAAGGCAACGAUACAUAGCCGACCUGAGAGGGUGAUCGGCCACACUGGGACUGAGACACGGCCCAGACUCCUACGGGAGGCAGCAGUAGGGAAUCUUCGGCAAUGGACGGAAGUCUGACCGAGCAACGCCGCGUGAGUGAAGAAGGGUUUCGGAUCGUAAAGCUCUGUUGUAAGAGAAGAACGAGUGUGAGAGUGGAAAGUUCACACUGUGACGGUAUCUUACCAGAAAGGGACGGCUAACUACGUG